rnacentral:ncRNA from 1 species
UAAAGGUUUGGUCCUGGCCUUCCUAUUAGCUAUUAACAAGAUUACACAUGUAAGUCUCCGCGCCCCGGUGAAAAUGCCCUUUAAAUCUCUUAGCUGAUUCGAAGGAGCGGGUAUCAAGCACACCUCUCUUUCCCUGGAGAGGUAGCUCAUAACGCCUUGCUCAGCCACACCCCCACGGGAUACAGCAGUGAUAAAAAUUAAGCCAUGAACGAAAGUUCGACUAAGCUAUGUUAAUUAAUAGGGCUGGUAAAUUUCGUGCCAGCCACCGCGGCCAUACGAUUAGCCCGAGUUAAUAGGUCCACGGCGUAAGGCGUGUGAAAGGAAAAACCCCACCACUAAAGUUAAAGACUAACCAAGCCGUAAAAAGCUGUCGAUAGCACUAAAAUAAACUACGAAAGUGACUUUAAUGCCCCCAACCACACGACAGCUAAGAUCCAAACUGGGAUUAGAUACCCCACUAUGCUUAGCCUUAAACGCAGAUAAUUUACCAAACAAAAUUAUUCGCCAGAGAACUACUAGCAAUCGCUUAAAACUCAAAGGACUUGGCGGUGCUUUAAACCCCCUAGAGGAGCCUGUUCUAUAACCGAUAAACCCCGAUAAACCUCACCACCCCUUGCUAAUCCAGUCUAUAUACCGCCAUCUUCAGCGAACCCUUAAAAGGAAAAAAAGUAAGCAUAAUUAUCUCACAUAAAAAAGUUAGGUCAAGGUGUAACCUAUGGGAUGGGAAGAAAUGGGCUACAUUUUCUACUCAAGAAUAGUCUACGAAAAUUUUUAUGAAACUAAAAACUAAAGGCGGAUUUAGUAGUAAACUAAGAAUAGAGAGCUUAGUUGAAUAGGGCAAUGAAGCACGCACACACCGCCCGUCACCCUCCUCAAGUGACGCUAAAUCAAACACAACCUAUUGAAACUAGACAAAUCAUAAGAGGAGGCAAGUCGUAACAAGGUAAGCGUACUGGAAAGUGUGCUUGGAUAAAC